UAUUGGUCAAUGGGCGCGAGCCUGAACCCGCCAAGUCGCGUGAGGGAUGACGGCCCUACGGGUUGUAAACCUCUUUUGACGGGGAGCAAAUUCCGCCACGUUUGGCGGAGUCGAGAGUACCCGAAGAAAAAGCAUCGGCUAAAUCCGUGCCAGCAGCCGCGGUAAUACGGAGGAUGCGAGCGUUAUCCGGAUUUAUUGGGUUUAAAGGGUACGUAGGCGGACUGUCAAGUCAGCGGUAAAAUCCGGGGGCUCAACCUCCGCCCGCCGUUGAAACUGACGGUCUUGAGUGGGCGAGAAGUAUGCGGAAUGCGUGGUGUAGCGGUGAAAUGCAUAGAUAUCACGCAGAACUCCGAUUGCGAAGGCAGCAUACCGGCGCCCAACUGACGCUGAAGCACGAAAGCGUGGGUAUCGAACAG
rnacentral:rRNA from 1 species